ensembl:lncRNA
GUGAAACCAUUCAUAAUGUGGUUAGACUUGGUCAGAAGAUUAGGUGUAUAUUUAUAUACCUAAUCUUUUGACCAAGUCUAACCACAUUACGUGCUUUAAACUGCUAUUGUAAAACAAACUUUUUGCAAAACUCUAAAAACACAGCUAUCUACAUUAUACACAUCAUUCAAAAGUAGCAGCUCUUUUGUUCCAUUUGGAAAAACACUGCCAUUUAAAUGCCACACUCAUUUAAUGAUGACCUUCAGCCAGUGAUCAUGUGUAAAAACAGACAUAAUUUGUUCACUAAGAAAUCAAAACGAAAGAUUUUUACCCCCUUGCAUUUCUGUUUACAUUGUAUAUAUAUAUGUAUGUAUAUCUAUAUAUAUAUAUGUAUAUCUAUAUACUGUGUGUGUGUGUGCGCGCGCGCGGUUUGCCAUCAUUCUUCUCUUCUUUCUUUAUUAGUUCAGUCUCUACAGCACGUCUGCAUGAUCUUGAGCAGUUUAAGCUCCUUCACAGCUCUGUUAUGGCGAAUGUUCAAACCAGGAUUCUUCAUCUGGAUCUCUCUAUCAUCAUUAUUUUCCUGAUUCAUGCAGAUUAUUCAAAAUCUAAUCAAGAGCAAAGGAUUCAGCAGCACAUCAACAAAACAGUGUUUGUGGGGGAAACAGUUACACUUCACUGCAACAAAACCCAACUUGAUGAUGAUUUCACAUGGAAAAUGAACAACUCUGUUAUUUUUAGGCAGGUCUCUUAUUUUAACAUAACUAAGACAAACUUCAGCUCAAACAGGAUUCACAUCGACCCCGCAGCUCCAAGAGAAUUAACAAUACAUCAAAUACAAGCGUCUGAUGCAGGAAACUACAGCUGUUACCCAGCAGCAAUAAGAUGGACAUUAACAAUAACAGAUAUCCAGAUCAGACCAGAAUCACUCAAACAAAUGUCGCUGAACAUCAUCAUCAUUAUCAUCUCAUGUUCUGGAGUCAUUAUGAUCUGUUUUAUCAUCACCAUCAGCAUCUGCAUUCACAGGAAACUGAGACAGAAGAUCAGCUCUGGUUCAGAGGAUGUGAAGAUGAUCUCUGACUGUGACAAACACACAGUAACAGCCUGUGUAAGUCAGUUGAACUCGACACACACCUCCAUCAUGUUUACCACAUCAUGUCUGUCCCUGGCCCCCAGCAAACAUCACUGACUCACUUCUUGAUGGAAACAUGUUGUGCAAUCAAACUACUGCUCUGUAAAAAUCACUUUUGUUCCAUCCAUUUGUGUCAUUUUAACAGCUAUAAAUAUACAUGAUAUUUAUAAACAGCACAGCAGAUAUUUGAACAAGAGAUGAAAUGUAUGUGUUUGUGUUCCACUUGUUUUAUCUUUGUUUUCUUCAGGUCUACAGUCUUCAUACAGUUUCAUGAACAUCUUUUCUUCUCAAGACAGCAGUGUGUGUCUGACACUCAACAGAUCAUCAUUACAAUACAGGAAGAUGUUUGAGAACGAGACCAUUACAAUAAUAAAUACAGUCUCAGAGGAUCUGUAUGUGAAUGU